rnacentral:lncRNA from 1 species
UUUCCGACGCAGUGUACAAGAUUUAACCAUAUUCGACCAUUUUCCGACUAUGUUGAAAAUUCCAUUCAUAAAAACUAACUACCAGCCACGUUUCAGAAUUCAGGUCGCUUUAAUAUUCAGGAAAGACACUCAUAAAAACUAGACGUCCAGGAAAAUCACAGGAGGAAGUGUUUAUUCAUUUAAGUGCCUGGCUCUGGCUAAUAGAGUGACCAUGUCUUACUUGGUAUUAACGUGGAGGAUAGGAACGCGACCAGCCUCGGGCUGACUUCCUUUUAACGAAUGAUUUACCGGUACUGCUGAGGCGCUCGCAAUCAUUGCUGAGCUUACUGCUGGAUAUUCGGGUGCUGAACACUGACUCCAAACAUGGAUUGGACUUUCUAGUUCAGGCGAGAUCACAAAAGCUAGAUUACUCAAUUAUGUUUAAUGAAAAUUUGAACGUGAGAAUGACGUUUUUAGCUUUAAAUUGAGUGACCAAGGAGAAUUGGAGUGAGUUACAAAGAUAACUGAAUGCGACGUAAAAUUUUCUGAGAAGUGGAAUAACUUAUUGCAAUAAAUAAAUACGAUUCAAAUAUCUCCGAGGAGAAGUCGGGUGACUUACUGCAAUAACUGAAUGCAAGACAAAUUUCUCUUAACCAACUGGCAGAAGUGAGACCCAAGAUGCGAUGCGUGGUGGUGAUGACGGCUGUGGUGAUGGUGGCAAUGAUGGUGCAACACAGCGAUGGCUGCACGUGCCCCCUACGUCACCCCCAGCAGCACUUCUGUGAGGCGGACUUCGUGGCGAACGUGAAGGUGCACCGCGUGGUGGCGUCACCGGACGGACAGACGGCGCUCAGGGUGCGGGUUCGCAGGAUAU